GAACAGUUAUUUCUCCAGUCCUGGAAGGGAGGCGGGGACCUAUUGGGCCCAUGAAGAAAGUGCUGGUUGACAACCCUAAGAACCGGAUGCUGCUUAUUGAGAACCUUCGGGAGUCCCAGCCCUACCGCUACACGGUGAAGGCGCGCAACGGGGCCGGCUGGGGGCCCGAGCGGGAGGCCAUCAUCAACCUGGCCACCCAGCCCAAGAGGCCCAUGUCCAUCCCCAUCAUCCCUGACAUCCCUAUCGUGGACGCCCAGAGCGGGGAGGACUACGACAGCUUCCUCAUGUACAGCGAUGACGUUCUACGCUCUCCAUCGGGCAGCCAGAGGCCCAGCGUCUCCGAUGACACUGAGCACCUGGUGAAUGGCCGGAUGGACUUUGCCUUCCCGGGCAGCACCAACUCCCUGCACAGGAUGACCACGACCAGUGCUGCUGCCUAUGGCACCCACCUGAGCCCACACGUGCCCCACCGCAUGCUAAGCACAUCCUCCACCCUCACACGGGACUACAACUCACUGACCCGCUCGGAACACUCACACUCGACCACACUGCCCAGGGACUACUCCACCCUCACCUCCGUCUCCUCCCACGACUUUCGCCUGACUGCUGGUGUGCCCGACACGCCCACCCGCCUGGUGUUCUCUGCCCUGGGGCCCACAUCUCUCAGAGUGAGCUGGCAGGAGCCGCGGUGCGAGCGGC
rnacentral:sRNA from 1 species